rnacentral:rRNA from 1 species
UACGUAGGGGGCAAGCGUUGUCCGGAUUUAUUGGGCGUAAAGAGCGUGUAGGCGGCUUAGUAGGUCCGCUGUGAAAACUCGAGGCUCAACCUCGAGACGCCGGUGGAAACCAUCAGACUAGAGUCCGGAAGAGGAGAGUGGAAUUCCUGGUGUAGCGGUGAAAUGCGCAGAUAUCAGGAAGAACACCCGUGGCUAAGGCGGCUCUCUAGUACGGUACUGACGCUGAGACGCGAAAGCGUGGGGAGCGAACAGG